rnacentral:misc_RNA from 1 species
UGGCUCUCGCAUCGAUGAAGAACGCAGCGAAAUGCGAUAAGUAAUGUGAAUUGCAGAAUUCAGUGAAUCAUCGAAUCUUUGAACGCACCUUGCGCCCCUUGGUACUCCGAGGGGCAUGCCUGUUUGAGUGUCAUGUUAAUCUCAAACCUCUUGUCUUUAUUGACUUGAUUGGUUUGGAUUUGGAGGGUGUGCUGGCUCGGACUUCAUUGUUAGUUUUGUCGGCUCCUCUGAAAUGCAUUAGCUGGACUUUGGUUCGCAUUAACGGUGUAAUAGUAAAAGUGUUCGCCGUGGUGCUUGCCUAAAGAGUCUGCUUCUAGUCGUCUUCGGACAAGGUCUCUUGUUGUGACCUUCUUGACCUUUUGACCUCAAAUCAGGUAGGACUACCCGCUGA